rnacentral:rRNA from 1 species
CUAUACAUGACUCUGCGCAUAUCAAUAAGCGGAGGAAAAGAAACUAACAAGGAUUCCCUUAGUAACGGCGAGUGAAGCGGGAAGAGCUCAAAUUUGAAAUCUUCAAGGUUCUACCUUGACGAAUUGUAGUUUAUAGAAGUGUUUUCUGUUAGUGGAGUGGCAAAAGUUCUUUGGAAUAGGACAUCAUAGAGGGUGAGAAUCCCGUAUUUGGUCAUUCCUCCUAGCGUUGUGAUACACUUUCAACGAGUCGGAUUGUUUGGGUAUGCAGUCCAAAAUGGGUGGUAAAUUUCAUCUAAAGCUAAAUAUUGGCGAGAGACCGAUAGCGAACAAGUACCGUGAGGGAAAGAUGAAAAGAACUUUGAAAAGAGAGUUAAACAGUACGUGAAAUUGUCAAAAGGGAAGCGUUUGACACCAGUGUUGUUUUUCCGAAAAUCAAUUACGAAUGUUUUAUUUUUGAGAAGUUAUGACUUCAUCGGCUUGCUUCUCUCUUUAUGAAACUUUCUUAAUGCACUUUUCGGUUAACAAGUCAACAUCAAUUUCUUUUGUUGUAAAAGGGUACGAGGAAGGUGGCUUUCUUUUCGGAGAAAGUGUUUAUAGCCUUGUACCUCUGCAAUCGGAGAGAUUGAGGUCUGCAGCGUAGAUCCUUCGGGGUUAGAUACAUUUGUGCUAAGUUAUAGCUUUUCAUAGACAACUUGUUGACUAUGUUUAGUCUUGUAGCUUACUCGCUUACUGCUAUUUUACCUACGCUUAGGAUGUUGAUAUGCAUGACUGAUAU